CGUCACUGUUCGGGAGGGACCCGAAGCCCCACCGCCAAACGUCGGAAUGAGUGAUGCAUCAUAUGUAUCCGGGGCAAAAAGAUGUACCGAGAGCAGGACAAAAUUGAAAAAGAA
rnacentral:lncRNA from 1 species